UACGAGCGGCCCAAACGUUAUUCGGAUUUACUGGGCUUAAAGAGUUCGUAGGCGGCGCGGAAAGUAGGGUGUGAAAGCCCUCGGCUCAACCGGGGAAUUGCGCCCUAAACUGCCGUGCUAGAGGAACCUAGAGGUGAGCAGAACUGAUGGUGGAGCGGUGAAAUGCGUUGAUAUCAUCAGGAAUACCGGAGGCGAAGGCGGCUCACUGGGGGUUUUCUGACGCUGAGGAACGAAAGCCAGGGGAGCGAACGGG
rnacentral:rRNA from 1 species